rnacentral:rRNA from 1 species
UCCACGCCGUAAACGAUGAACACUAGGUGCUGGAAGGAUUUUAACCUUUCAGUGCCGAAGCUAACGCAUUAAGUGUUCCGCCUGGGGAUUACGGUCGCAAGGCUGAAACUCAAAGGAAUUGACGGGGGCCCGCACAAGCGGUGGAGCAUGUGGCUUAAUUCGAUGAUACGCGAGGAAUUUGACAUGCAUUUGACAGUCUUCGAGAUCUCCCCGGGGCAAAGCACAGGUG